UUCCCUCUAAACCUACAGAAAACCCAUCACUUUCAUCCUGCAUAACAGUUUGCUCCAUUUUGACAACGACGGGUGUUCAAGAUUUGGUUGCCCUCAUGUUGACUUCACUCUCGUUCUACGUAAUAUUUUGCUCCAUUUUGACAAAGUGGGUGUUCAAGAUUUGGCCACUCGUCUCAUUCGGCACACCCAUUUUACUCCAUUUUGACGAAAUGGGUGUUCAAGAUUCUGUUGUUAUUCUUAUAUUCUUAAGGCUCAGGAAGGCCUUUGCUACCAUUGGACAAGGUCGACGAGGAGGAAGAAAAAGAGAGAUCUAAAUCAGUCUCAUACUCCUAUUCUUUCUUCCACCUUAUCUUUUCUCUUGCUAGUAUGUACUCGGCAAUGCUUCUAACAGGUUGGUCAAUCUCUGUGGAGGAGAGUGGAAAAUUAGUAGACGUUGGGUGGCCAUCUGUCUGGGUCAGGACCGUGUUGCCGAAGAGCGUAUCAAAAUACUUGAGAAAGAGGUGUCAAAUAUGAGAUAAAAUAAAGAGGGUUCUUCAAGAGCGUGUAGAGUUAGAGGUACAACAACGACUAGAGCAAGAGGUUUCCCGUUUGAAGCAACAGAGUGAUGAUCGAUUCAAAUCUAUGGAGGAGCAAUGGUCUUGCAUAAUGAGCGAUAUGGCAUUAUCUUCUCGCUCAGUUAGUAAUCCUACUCUCCCUAAUAGGGACUAUCUAAUGCUUAAAUAUUUAAUAUUUUGAGAAAUUAGUUACUUGAAGUGUCGACUUGAACAUUGUCACACUCUUUUGGAUAGUUAUAUGCUUUAAAUUUUAAACAUUGGUUGGCUUUUGCUUAUU